UCGAGCUGUCUAAGCACGUGCAGACAAUGCAUUAUCAUCAAUACAAGCAAAACAUCUGAACGCUGAAAGUUUUACGCUUUUUGGAUUACAACGACAAAACGGGAUCACGCAUCAAUGGACUUAAACAUGUUUAAGAUAAAAUUCUUCGAAGAUGACUUCCUGACAUAGUUCCACAUGGUUCAGAGAGGAUUGAAUAUUGCCGGAGACUACAUGAGACCCAGUCAGUGAGAACCUUUCACGUGGUGGAGACUGAGAGACUAAACGGUCUUCACUGCAAUCUAAACUCGCAGUUUACAGAAAUCACCUUUGAACAACGUGUUGACAAAGAACUGAGCCGCGUAAACUGGAAGAUUCUUGAGUGGGAGCUGAGGCCUUUCCGAGACACAACAGAAACCAGAGGCUGUGGUUCAUUUCAUGACUUCCUCCUCAUUGUUUGCCUGUCUGUGUGACUGGAAACCGGCAGUGACAGACAGAUGACUUUGGUCGCUCUUAAACCGAGCCUGUAGAGAGACUGGACCUGACUCCUUCAGAAGGAGCGAGUGAGUAAUCAAGCCCGACGGCCGAACGGCAUGCUUUUCCCACACUUCUGUAACCUGUCAUGCUGACCUUGUUUCUAGUACAAGCACUAGUAUGCUUUCAGCUUGAUGUCCAAAUUAUCUCGGCACACUGCUGCCAAGUUGCUUCAGUGGUUUACACAGUCCUGCGCCCA